GCGGAUGUGGCGGAAUUGGCAGACGCGCUAGAUUCAGGUUCUAGUGAGGGUUGACUUCGUGGGGGUUCAAGUCCCUUCAUCCGCACCA
rnacentral:tRNA from 1 species